rnacentral:rRNA from 1 species
AUGGCGUCGGAGAUGCUGCUCAGGAGGAUCCAUUCCAUCUGCCGUCUCGCCCCCGGCGACCGCCAGUCGCAGCUGUUCGGACGCGGGGAGGGGCUCCGCCGUCUGGUUCCUACGGCGAGCCAUCCAUCGUUCUGCAGCAGCGUGUGUGAGCAAGCCGGCGCGGGCAGCGCAAGCAAGGAUCAAGAUAACCUCGCUAGGUUUUCAGACCCACAGGUUGCUCACGAGGAUCGCCGGUUCGUUCAGUUCUUGGAUAGGAUGCUGGACGCGACGAGAAAUCCCCAGAGUCUUGCGCAGAUACGGCGCGAGAAGCUUCCAAAUGAUGUGAAAAUAUUGGAUGAUGAGAUAUGA